rnacentral:rRNA from 1 species
UGAAGUCAGUCGUACCGACGCGAUUCUCUUAUCGUGCGAAGCUUGUGGGCGUGCGUGAGUUUCGGUUUGCUGUUUGUUGUUUGUGCGUUUUGGGUGUACUUUUUCGUACUGUAUGUUACGUCAGUUUUGCUUAAUUAAAAUGACCUGCGGCACGUAGCUUCGCUUUCGGUCAAGUGUUAUAGCCUCCUGUAGGGUGGUGAUUGAGCCCGCUGGUGCAACGUAUACCUUUUGGGCUAUCCGUCCUGUUCUGAAAGUCGCUCAGGUGCCGAAAGCGUGCUUACGGUCAUCUAAGCUAACGUUCAACAUGUUAGAACGUGAUUACAUUCGUUAAUGUGUUGACGUA